rnacentral:rRNA from 1 species
AUUGAACGCUGGCGGCAUGCUUUACACAUGCAAGUCGGACGGCAGCACAGAGAAGCUUGCUUCUUGGGUGGCGAGUGGCGAACGGGUGAGUAACAUAUCGGAACGUACCGAGCAGUGGGGGAUAACUAAUCGAAAGAUUAGCUAAUACCGCAUAUUUUCUGAGGAAGAAAGCAGGGGACCUUUGGGCCUUGCGCUGUUUGAGCGGCCGAUAUCUGAUUAGCUAGUUGGUGGGGUAAAGGCCUACCAAGGCGACGAUCAGUAGCGGGUCUGAGAGGAUGAUCCGCCACACUGGGACUGAGACACGGCCCAGACUCCUGCGGGAGGCAGCAGUGGGGAAUUUUGGACAAUGGGCGCAAGCCUGAUCCAGCCAUGCCGCGUGUCUGAAGAAGGCCUUCGGGUUGUAAAGGACUUUUGUCAGGGAAGAAAAGGGCGGGGUUAAUACCCCUGUCUGAUGACGGUACCUGAAGAAUAAGCACCGGCUAACUACGUG